CCUGUCUGCUCUUCCACCCCUAUACACUGAGCCCUUCCCUACACCGACCAUGGAGUGCACGUAUGCCAUGUACACUGGUCUCUGUGAUCUUCCAGAAGCAUCACUGGAGCAGAAGGGUGUACUUCAAGAAAGAAUGACAUCAAUAUCCAAACACUGAGCAGUUAUGAGUCUUCAUGGUUUUCUUCAUAGUAUUCAGCUCACUUAACUUUUUUCUGUUUUCUGUCAUUCCAGUUUCGAUAAUAAGAUAAGAAGGCUGCAGUCUUUAAGACAACAUGCUAUAGCCAUAGCACAGCAUCAAACCAAAGAACAAUGCAGCAGCAUCAAAGAAGGCACUCUCCAAAUGGAAUGAUCACAUGAGCCGUUCACAGUGGUAGAGGAUUCAGGAUACUGAAUCUCACAUGUAAAAUGCAUGAUGUUUAACACUACACUUGACUGGUUGAAAGUGUGACUUUACCUAGCUCACCAGCAGAGCAACCACCUAAGACUUUUCAAAGCAUUUAAAUGCUCAUUUAGCUUCUAACUGAACACUACGAAGCAGAGGAAAACUGAGGUUGUUCUCAUAGGAGGCAGUGUGGCUUCACCGCUGCAGACAGCAGCAUGUGUGUGAGUCACUCUCUCUACUGCCUUUCUUCCAGACCUUGAGGAGUUGCAGGACAUUGAUCCCUAGGAAGACAAUAAGAACCAGGAAGAUCUGGCAAGUGUGCGGAGCCUCCAGAAUAAGGAAGGCGUCAUCAGGAACCUAGAAAAGAACAUUGGAUGCCCUGAGUCAGAAGUUACAGGUGAUGCUGAGCCACAAUGUUGUUGCUUGGUAUUGAACCCUGGUCCUGUGGAACAGCUAGCAGGUUUCCCCAUCAUGAUCUUGAUGCCCAUUGCUCAUAGAAUCCCUCUUCGCUCUCUUCGACUGGACUCCUGGAGCUCGUCCUGGUACUUGGCUGUGGAUCUCUCUGGGAGGUGCUUUUAACUGCUGAGUCAUCUUUUCAGAAAUUUUCACAUUUUCCCCCAAUCAUUCAGGCAAUCAAAGCAAAGCCUGUUUGCUUACCUCUGCUUUCAUUUAUAACAGUUUGUUAUAUGUUGUUUAUUUUUUUUUGAAAGAGCAUACAUGAGAUAGAGAAUCUAUUUUGACAUAGAGAA